rnacentral:lncRNA from 1 species
GGAAGAAGGAGAAGAAGAAGGAAAGAAAGAGUGAGCUCACAUAGAAAGCUUAACCUCUAUUAAAUCUUAGAGGCAGAUUAGAAAUAAUUAUAAAAUUCGAUACGCACAAAUGGGAAUGCAUAGGUUUAAGGAGUGAGUGGAUUAAUUGCACAUGACUCCAAACGUGGGCUAAGGAGGUAGACAAGAUGCCUCUUCCUGAGUGUGUGACUUUAAGGAAGCUUCUUAAGACCUCCAACUUCAGUAUCCCUGAGGGGAAAUCUUUAAAUGGAGAUAGUGGCACCUACCUCCCAGGGUACUGUGAACAUUAAGUAACUAUUGCCUAGCAAGCCUUUGGUAGAAUGUGUGGCACGUAGUACAUGCUCAGUAAAAAGUGAUUGACGUUGCUGUUCCAUGAACUAGACAGGCUUUAAAGUCAAGUUCCAAAAAUAUCUGAGUGGUAUCCACAUCUUCAAAAUGAGCAGCCAGCCUCUCAGCAUGGAACCCUUUGAAGGAGCCACACUGGCAGGUAGGAACAGCCAUGCUGAAGGGCUCAGGGAGCAGGAACCGGGCCACCUGCACAGGGAGGGUUUCCUUCCACUUCAGAGCAGGUAAAUGGUUUCACUUCCCAUCCAGCUCAGGUAGAUUGAUGAUGGCUACCAGGAUUUCAGCCCCAACAAGGAUGACAAGGCAAGGGUCCUUCAGGAUGGAGUAGCCAUGCCUUUCAUGGGGACAGGAGAAAGGUGGGUUGACUUAAUAGGCUACAGAUCCAGAAGUUAAAUUUGUGCCAUUGUUCGGCAUAAUCAUAGUAUUAUUUAGUGAGAGUUCACCAUGUCUGAGCAGUAAUUGUCAGGGUGCUUUACAUUUAUGUAUCAUCUUAUUUGAUCUUACAUCAAUCCUGUGAAGAGGGUACAUUAUAAUCCCCGUUUUUCACAUGGGUCUUACGGACUAAGUCAACUGCUUGAGGUCACUUGUAGCAGAUUCAGCCACUGCCCAAGUGUUGUGAACAACAACUCCCAUGUGCCUGGCUUCUGUCACUUUUGAGAACAGCUGCCUCUGACUACCAGGGUCUACUUUGCCUACCCACAAGAGUCUGGGGUCCUUGGGAAUUUAGGUGUGCCAGGUAAGCCCUGAACCUUAGACUGUUGGGUGCAGGGCUAUAAAUGUUUCUAGCUCCCUUGCCUUUGACAGGCACACUCAGGUGUGGUCUCCACUGACCCCAGAGCUCCACCAGAAUUGAGCCAAGUGGGAGCCUUUCCUCCUCCUUCUAUGGGACUGUGUUCGAUGCUGCCCCUUUGCACCCUGCCUGGCCUCCUUCCCUUCCUGGCCCCACUCUCCUGUCCCCCUAUUGUAUUUUCCUAGGAGUAUUCUGCAAUGAAACACUUUCGUGCAAAGGUUUAUCUAGUGGUCUGCUUCUGGGAAAACAGACCUGCGAGGUCACUUGGUUGUAAGUGCCAGAGCCUGAGUUCAACUCAGGUUCACGGUGUAAACUGCCUCAAAGAGAACCACCCCACCAGAACCAGUAAUAAUAAAUGUGCAAAGACGGAAGACCUAAAUAGAAUUCUCACCAAUGCUCGGGGGCCGAGUCCCAAGCAAGGCCUGGCUGUGAAAGCUGUGCCUGCCGACCACCUGAGACUUGAAUAUCCUGCGUGGAAGCCCUACAGACUCUGGUGUGCCCUCUGCCACAUCCCAGCAUAAUCCUGGUGGAGAAAGUCAUUGGAAUUUUGGAAGCUAGGAAGGCUUUCCUUAGCCUGGUAAUUAUUUUUUCUUCCAAACCUCUAUGCAAAGAAUGUAAGUUAACUGAUUAGGCUAAGGCUCUGUGCAUCCUGUUGUUCUCUUUUCUGCAGUCAUUUGGGUCUUUGUGUAUCUUUGAUGUGUGUGAAUUAACAUAUUCUGCAGCUCCUCCCACUCACCGAGAGAAGGGGAAAAGAUACCAGCCACAGCCCUUGCAGCUGAAACAAAAAACCUGAGCCUGGGUGGAGGCCAGAGGGAGGAGGAGGGCUUUUCUCCCUAUCUCACCAUUUGGGAGAAUUUUCCCUAGAACAGGAAAAAUAAAAUAGUGUUCUUGUUCAUGAAUAUUGCAGGUAGAAAAGAACACACUCUAGGGUAUGCCUGAAACUCCACUCACCUUGUCUCCCUGGAAAUGCUGAAGUCCAUGAGUCCCAGGAAGGACCUUCACUCAACACUUCCCUAGCCUCCAACUCUCUUCCAACCCAGCCUCACCCCUGCACAGGGAGGUUUUCCUUCUACUUCAAACCAUCUUUAUAUCAAGGGAUGGUUUCAUCUCUCAUCCAGCUCAGAUACGGAGCCCAUGGACACAGAUGGCUAACUGUAUUUUGUUUGCUGUUCCCACUCAAGAGAAUGGAGCAGAAAGAUGAACACAGCUGGGACAAUGACAGCAGCAUUGCAGAGCUCACGUCAGCCCUGUACUACCUCCUGAGACCUCUCGUUAUGGGAGAAGACAAAUUCCUUUGUGCUUGCACUACCCUAGCAGGAAUGUGUCACACACAGCUAAAUGCAAUCCCAACUAGGACACUUGGAAUAUGGCAACUCACAGCUGGGGGCUAACCCAUCAAUGUGUCUUGUUUGGGCAGCACAGUGUUUUAAGUAAUUAUACUUCAGACAUGGGAAACUUCA